AUUGAACGCUGGCGGCAGGCUUAAUACAUGCAAGUCGAACGAGUGGAGGACGGGUGAGUAAUGCAUGGGAAUCUAGAUUAUGGAGGGGGAUCACUAGGGUAAAACGUAGCAAAUAACGCGUACCAUAGGAUGAGCCCAAGUGGGAUUAGGUAGUUGGUGAGGGAAAGGCUCACAAAGCCGGAGAUAUCAAGCUGGUCGGAGAGGAUGACCGGCCACACUGGGACUGAGACACGGCCCAGACGCCGACGGGAGGCAGCAGUGGGGAAUAUUGCGCAAUGGGGGCAACCUGACGCAGCCAUGCCGCGUGAAUGAAGAAGGCUGUCGGGUUGUAAAGUUCUUUCGGUAGCGAGGCGUUAACUACAGAGGAAGGACCGGCUAACUCCGUGCCAGCAGCCGCGGUAAUAC
rnacentral:rRNA from 1 species